AGGGCACCACCAGGAGUGGAGCCUGCGGCUUAAUUUGACUCAACACGGGAAAACUUACCCGGCCCGGACACUGGAAGGAUUGACAGAUUGAGAGCUCUUUCUUGAUUCAGUGGGUGGUGGUGCAUGGCCGUUCUUAGUUGGUGGAGCGAUUUGUCUGGUUAAUUCCGAUAACGAACGAGGCUCUAGCCUACUAAAUAGACUACCGUUCCUUUGUGACGGUAGGACUUCUUAGAGGGACAGGCGGCGACUCAGCCGCACGAAACAGAGCAAUAACAGGUCUGUGAUGCCCUUAGAUGUCCGGGGCCGCACGCGCGCUACACUGAAGUGAUCAGCGUGCAUUAAUAACCCUCUCUGUCAAGAGUGGGUAACCCAUUGAACCUUCUUCGUGAUUGGGAUAGGGUAUUGUAAUUCUUACCCUUGAACGAGGAAUUCCCAGUAAGCGCGAGUCAUAAGCUUGCGUUGAUUACGUCCCUGCCCUUUGUACACACCGCCCGUCGCCACUACCGAUUGAAUGAUUUA
rnacentral:rRNA from 1 species